UAUGUGUGCUCACUCUCUAUC
rnacentral:siRNA from 1 species